CCUACGGGUGGCUGCAGUGGGGAAUAUUGGACAAUGGGCGAAAGCCUGAUCCAGCCAUGCCGCGUGUGUGAAGAAGGCCUUCGGGUUGUAAAGCACUUUCAGUGGGGAAGAAAGCCUUGGGGCUACUACCCUCGAGGAAGGACAUCACCCACAGAAGAAGCACCGGCUAACUCCGUGCCAGCAGCCGCGGUAAUACGGAGGGUGCGAGCGUUAAUCGGAAUUACUGGGCGUAAAGCGCGCGUAGGCGGUCUGAUAAGCCGGUUGUGAAAGCCCCGGGCUCAACCUGGGAACGGCAUCCGGAACUGUCAGGCUAGAGUGCAGGAGAGGAAGGUAGAAUUCCCGGUGUAGCGGUGAAAUGCGUAGAGAUCGGGAGGAAUACCAGUGGCGAAGGCGGCCUUCUGGACUGACACUGACGCUGAGGUGCGAAAGCGUGGGUAGCAAACAGGAUUAGAUACCCGAGUAGUC
rnacentral:rRNA from 1 species